UACACCGCGAGGUGCAGCUGAAGGAAGCCGGCGGCAAACUUCUGGUCUGACGGACAGAAAUCGCAUGAGGCAUAUGGAUUCUGGGUAAGGUUGCCAAACAAGCCAAAGCCCCAUAGCUAUCCGAAAGGUCCUAUGUAGAUGAGGCAGAUAGAUGGAAGGAAAGAUUAUACU
rnacentral:ncRNA from 1 species